ensembl:lncRNA
CUGAGCUCGGUUCUGUGCUUCACAUUCCUCCACGGUAAAGCCUUGAAUCCGCGAGCGAAGCACAGGAGUGAAUAUGGCAGCGCUGGCUCACGGGAAUCAUCCGCCUUGUCUUGUCCACCGUUGGCGAAGAAUGCGUUGGGUACAUUAUUUCAACGACGAUCAGCUGUGAUGCGUAUGGCUGCUGUAGCUAUCGGGAGCUUGUGCUUAUGGUGUGCACUUACUGUAAGUCCCUUUGGAUAAAAGCGUCGGCUAAGAGACGUAACGUAAUGUGCACGGGUCAAAAUCCACACUGGAUUCAUUUGAUACCACGCAAAAGUCCGCUAUAACGUAUAGCCAAGACCGCGUUGUUCCUCAGCUGAACAGUAUCACCCCGUCCAGUGAUUAAUAUCUAAAGCGCCAACCGCCCCCACUGGGGCCGUCUAAGCGUCUGUGUUACAGCGCCUGACUUCAGAUUCAACUCGCGGUCGCCGUGGUCACCACUGAUUGCCCCAAUGGAUGAAUAAUUCAUGUCUCCCGCUCGGUGUGGACUCUCAACCCUCGCUGUGUUUUUUUUUUUUCUUUGCUGUGCACUUUUUCCACCCAGUGGCGUGAUCCGCUCCCUCCCAGUCCAUCAGGGGCAGCGGAAAAGGCCAGCGCGGGCGGUGUGGAUUGAACCCAACAAGCGCGCUCGCCACGCGGCGUCUCUCCUGUAAUAAAGCCGAGAUUGAAACGUUUUCAUUUCCUGCGCCGUGGCUCCGCUCAGACAAAAGGUCUCCGACACUCACAGACAACACACGCGCGCUUUAAAAAUUUUUUUUUUUUUACUGUAACCUUUUGACAUGUUUUGUUCUGUGCCUUGAUGGUGGAAGGAGAAAAAGAAAAGGAGUCAUGCGCGACGCCGCCGUGCGCCCUCUCUUUCGGUUGUGAGGAAAUGCGGAACGUUAGGUGCUCCUCAUGAUGCACAUCACCCGAAUGUCAAAUUAGAUCAGCAGUGAUCUCAGACCGGAAAGAAAACAUUGCAUAACCAACGCCCCGUGUCCUCUCCCUCUCACGAGGACGGGGAUCACAUCGCGCUCUCGCUGCCUCGGCCAAGUGGUAGUCCACCCAAUUAUCCAGAGAGCGCUCGCGGCGCAGACUUGAGAAGCGUGUGCCAUGGCGGGAGACUUCGCCCA